GUAAGAGGAACAGGAGAGUAAGUCACAGGAACAUGGAAGUAAGACAUUGGAAUGGGGGGAUAAGAAGAACAGGGGUAAUAAGACACAGGAACUGGUGUGAUAAGAGGAACAGUGGGGAUAAAAACACGGGGGAGGGGAUAAGAGGAACAGCAGGGAUAAUACACAGGAAUAGAGGGGAAUUUAGGAACAGGGAAGUAAAACGGGGGGAUAAGAGGAAC